CAGUCGCCACGGUAAUGCGGAGGGUGCAAGCGUUAAUCGGAAUUACUGGGCGUAAAGCGCACGCAGGCGGUUUGUUAAGUCAGAUGUGAAAUCCCCGAGCUUAACUUGGGAACUGCAUUUGAAACUGGCAAGCUAGAGUCUUGUAGAGGGGGGUAGAAUUCCAGGUGUAGCGGUGAAAUGCGUAGAGAUCUGGAGGAAUACCGGUGGCGAAGGCGGCCCCCUGGACAAAGACUGACGCUCAGGUGCGAAAGCGUGGGGAGCAAACAGGAUUAGAUACCCCAGUAGUCCCUGUCUCUUAUAC
rnacentral:rRNA from 1 species